rnacentral:lncRNA from 1 species
UAAAAGGUGCAGGAGUCCUGCCAUUCCACCUUCAUUGCAACGAUUAAAGGNGCAAGAGCCCCGCUUUCCUUUCCAUCUGGCUGACCAAUCAACCCCUGCAGAGCCUUUGUGGUUCUCCCAGCCAGCAAACAGCCUUCAAGCGUUAAAGCGAGGGAGCUGUGAACUUCCUAGAGAGGCCAAGUGUUGGGGAGGGGCAGCAGCUACUUCCUGCUCCAAUCCCCACUCCUUCUUUUCCCUUCUCCCGGGGACAAAAAGGGGGAGGCUUUUGACUUCUUAAAGACAUUUUGGGAGGGAUCAAGAGAAGAAGCACCUGACAUAUUCCGUGAAGCAGCAAAGAUGUCCUUUGUCACUCAGAGACCUUUUUGCGGGUGGAUCAUGCAGGAAAAUGAUAUGGCUUCAACCUGGCUGGGUAAGGAUUCAUGGAGCAUCUCUCUAUAUAGUCUCCACACUGUAUGAAGAGGUGCUUAUUAAAGACCUAUCUUUUCACUCAGGUGCUUAUUAAAGACCCAACUUCUCACUCAGGUGCUUAUUAAAGGCCUACCUUUUAACUCAA